rnacentral:snRNA from 1 species
AUUGCUUCUUGGCUUUUGGGCUAAGAUCAAGUGUAGUAUCUGUUCUUAUCAAUUGAAUAUCUGAUAUGUCCUAAAAUUUAAAAAAUUUAACAACAAUGGUUUAUGCAUACACAGGCAAAUUCUUUCUCUCUCUCUCUUCGUCUUUCUUUGUUGCCCCCACAAAUGGCAGCACAGUGGACAAGCC